rnacentral:lncRNA from 1 species
AGAAGAUCCUGCCCUAAGGAGCAAGUGUGCGGAGGCCACCUGGCCUUCACUGGUUCCUGCACUGAAUGUUUCCUUCUCACCUGCUGAGUACCAGGUGUUACCCCAGAGAUGGCAGAAGGACUGAGGACCUGGGGAGGAGAGAGGAGGAAACUGGAGGACUGUGAACGUGGCCACGUCUUUUCCAAUGGAGAGAAAACUCAAUCGGAUCUGGGCACUCCCUACAUUUCUCCACCUCCUGCCGCCCCCGUGAGCCACUGCAGGGAGAUUUUUCUGAAUAAUGGAACAUUUUCCUGUUUUAAUCAGAUGCAAUUUUGCAAGCAGUUUUUAUGAUUUAGCAAGUCCAUUAAAACUGGCAUUUGUUCUGCUCUGACACUCGAAAGGGGCUCCACAGAGCAUAAACAUUGGAAAUUACUUGUAGGGAGAGACAAUAUUAAAAUUCCCCAGCCUGGGCCUGUUGUUUGAGAAAUUCUGUUAUCAAGCAUCAUGCCAGCUACGAUCAGAGGUGCUUGAGAUAUAUGCUGCUUCCUCUUUACGCACUAACUGGGGGCCUGGGAACUCAGGCAGCAAUAAAGUCG